rnacentral:rRNA from 1 species
CUACGGGACGCUGCAGUGGGGAAUUUUGGACAAUGGGCGCAAGCCUGAUCCAGCCAUGCCGCGUGCGGGACGAAGGCCUUCGGGUUGUAAACCGCUUUCAGCCGGAAAGAAAUCGCCAAGGCUAAUAUCCUUGGUGGAUGACGGUACCGGAAGAAGAAGCACCGGCUAGCUACGUGCCAGCAGCCGCGGUAAUACGUAGGGUGCGAGCGUUAAUCGGAAUUACUGGGCGUAAAGCGUGCGCAGGCGGUUUUGUAAGCCAGACGUGAAAUCCCCGGGCUUAACCUGGGAACUGCGUUUGGAACUGCAAGACUCGAGUGUGUCAGAGGGAGGUGGAAUUCCACGUGUAGCAGUGAAAUGCGUAGAUAUGUGGAGGAACACCGAUGGCGAAGGCAGCCUCCUGGGAUAACACUGACGCUCAUGCACGAAAGCGUGGGGAGCAAACAGGAUUAGAUACCCCUGUAGUC